rnacentral:rRNA from 4 species
CGUGAGGCAUGCUGGAGGUAUCAGAAGUGCGAAUGCUGACAUAAGUAACGAUAAAGCGGGUGAAAAGCCCGCUCGCCGGAAGACCAAGGGUUCCUGUCCAACGUUAAUCGGGGCAGGGUGAGUCGACCCCUAAGGCGAGGCCGAAAGGCGUAGUCGAUGGGAAACGGGUUAAUAUUCCCGUACUUGGUGUUACUGCGAAGGGGGGACGGAGAAGGCUAUGUUGGCCGGGCGACGGUUGUCCCGGUUUAAGCGUGUAGGUGUGUGUUCCAGGUAAAUCCGGUUCACUUUAACACUGAGGCGUGACGACGAGGCACUACGGUGCUGAAGCAACAAAUGCCCUGCUUCCAGGAAAAGCCUCUAAGCAUCAGGUAACAUCAAAUCGUACCCCAAACCGACACAGGUGGUCAGGUAGAGAAUACCAAGGCGCUUGAGAGAACUCGGGUGAAGGAACUAGGCAAAAUGGUGCCGUAACUUCGGGAGAAGGCACGCUGACACGUAGGUGAAGUGAUUUACUCAUGGAGCUGAAGUCAGUCGAAGAUACCAGCUGGCUGCAACUGUUUAUUAAAAACACAGCACUGUGCAAACACGAAAGUGGACGUAUACGGUGUGACGCCUGCCCGGUGCCGGAAGGUUAAUUGAUGGGGUCAGCGCAAGCGAAGCUCCUGAUCGAAGCCCCGGUAAACGGCGGCCGUAACUAUAACGGUCCUAAGGUAGCGAAAUUCCUUGUCGGGUAAGUUCCGACCUGCACGAAUGGCGUAAUGAUGGCCAGGCUGUCUCCACCCGAGACUCAGUGAAAUUGAACUCGCUGUGAAGAUGCAGUGUACCCGCGGCAAGACGGAAAGACCCCGUGAACCUUUACUAUAGCUUGACACUGAACAUUGAGCCUUGAUGUGUAGGAUAGGUGGGAGGCUUUGAAGUGUGGACGCCAGUCUGCAUGGAGCCGACCUUGAAAUACCACCCUUUAAUGUUUGAUGUUCUAACGUGGACCCGUUACCCGGGUUGCGGACAGUGUCUGGUGGGUAGUUUGACUGGGGCGGUCUCCUCCUAAAGAGUAACGGAGGAGCACGAAGGUUGGCUAAUCCUGGUCGGACAUCAGGAGGUUAGUGCAAUGGCAUAAGCCAGCUUGACUGCGAGCGUGACGGCGCGAGCAGGUGCGAAAGCAGGUCAUAGUGAUCCGGUGGUUCUGAAUGGAAGGGCCAUCGCUCAACGGAUAAAAGGUACUCCGGGGAUAACAGGCUGAUACCGCCCAAGAGUUCAUAUCGACGGCGGUGUUUGGCACCUCGAUGUCGGCUCAUCACAUCCUGGGGCUGAAGUAGGUCCCAAGGGUAUGGCUGUUCGCCAUUUAAAGUGGUACGCGAGCUGGGUUUAGAACGUCGUGAGACAGUUCGGUCCCUAUCUGCCGUGGGCGCUGGAGAACUGAGGGGGGCUGCUCCUAGUACGAGAGGACCGGAGUGGACGCAUCACUGGUGUUCGGGUUGUCAUGCCAAUGGCACUGCCCGGUAGCUAAAUGCGGAAGAGAUAAGUGCUGAAAGCAUCUAAGCACGAAACUUGCCCCGAG